GGUGAUUCAAAUGUACACUCUUCGGAAAUGCAUGUUUAAUUAUUGCUUGUUCUGACAGUUGAUGUCCCAACUUUACACUCUUCAGGGAUUUCCCUACAUAAAAUGCAUGCCUAGCUAGGACACCUCCAAGCUAAUAUGUGGCAAAAAUACAUGUUAAAAGAAGGCCUUAUAUUAUUAACACUAUAACAACCCUUCAUAGUUCUUGCACAUCUUAUUCAAUUACACAGAUAGAUUAACAGAGAAUGAGAAGACAUUACUUGUUUCAAAGCUAGCAAAGAGAAGCGCGACUGGAUGUAAAGAGCUCUGCCUUGCUCGCAGUGGAGCAUGAUGUUGCAAAUACCCUCUUGAUAAUGGCUGGUGUGUUUGUGGCCACACCACUGUGCAGUGGCUAUAGGCCAGGCAAACACAAUUCUGCUCUGAUUGCUCUUGUCUGGUUAUUCUUAGAAAAGAAGUCUAGCUGCUGCAGUGGCUCAGUUAAUGCUCCAAGGGCAAUGCCUCUGGAUCUUCUGCAUUGGGCUCUACUCUUUGUUAAACAGCUCAGCUCACGUACAUCCACCUUCUUCCUUCCCCUUCCACUCUCCGUUUGUCUGUGCUCAGAGGUACCCACUACUGGAAAAUCAAACCUUUUAAGUAUGGACAAGAACAGGAGAAAACCAUCCUCCAGUUCCCAGUAG
rnacentral:lncRNA from 1 species